UCCAGGGACGAGACCAAGCCGUCUCACACUCCCGCGACCAGACCUAGCGCCGGCGGCGGACCAGCCGAGAAGGGAGCUUGCGGGAGCGGCGGACCAGGGAGCCGGCGGGGGCGGCGGACUGCCGGAGCUCCGCGCCAGAAGAGAGGUGCUCACGCGCCCACCGACGAGCCGCGCCAAGCCGCCAACAGCCAACCCAUCGCGGCUGCGCCCUGCCUGCGUGCUGCUCCGACCCCGGCUCCCUAGUCCGCCGCUCCGCGCCAGCAGCGAGGCGCGCACGCGCCCACGAGACGCGCCAACAGCCAACCCAUCGCGGGCAUUGAUUUACAGAAAUGAAGAGAAAAAAUAUGAGCAUAAACAGUUUUUUUGCAAGUAGUUCAAUCACUCCUCGUGUCGAACCUGAUCCUAUCCCAGCCAGUCCACUGAUCCCAGAGAAUGUGAACCCAGAUCCCCUUCCCCUGAUUGUAGUGACCAUAGUUCCUCCUUCAACUAAUGAGAGAACUGAUCCCUCAACCCCAAGGGAUGAUAGAAAUGACACCACAUUUGAUGAAAGUACAAACCAACCAAGAAUGCCUAUACUAGAGUUUCAUCCAAGUCAAAUUAUUGCUGAUCCAGGACUUAGAAUUCCUAUAGAAGAUUAUGCCCCUGAAAUUAGAAGAAGUGAUGUGCGAAGAGCUUAUUUGUUGAACAAACGAAACAAAGCUGUUGGGCAUACAUUCAAGAACACAAAGGAUGGUAAAAUUUGGAGAUCCUUUCAACGUGCGUGGCUCGACAAGUUUGAUUGGUUGGAAUACAGUGUGGAUAAGGAGGCUGCGUUUUGCUUUCAUUGCUUUCUUUUCAAGAAACCAUCCCAGGCCAUUAGAUUUGGCAAUGAUGUUUUCAUGAAAGAUGGCUACACUCGUUGGAAAACAGGUCUAGCUAGUUUUGAAAAGCACGUUGGUGGUCAAUUUAGUUACCACAACAUUGCUAGGGGAGAUUGCGAUGAUUUCAACAAUCAACAAGCAAGUGUGGCUACCAAAUUCCCUGUGUACAGCAAGGAGUCUGAGAUAUCUUAUAAAAUCCUCCUAACUGCAUCAUUGGAUUGUGCAAGGUAUCUCAUAGCACAAGGUGAAGCUUUUCGUGGGCAUGAUGAAUCCUCCACUUCCAUCAAUAAGGGCAAUUUUAGAGAGUUGUUGGACUGGUACAAGAACAAGAAGGAAGAUGUGAAGGAGGCAUUUGAUAAGGGGGCUGGAAAUGCACAAAUGAUUUGUUCUGACAUCCAAAAGGACCUUGCUGCUGCUUGUGCAAUGGAGGUAACCAAAGUUAUUAAGAAUGACAUUGGAGAUAAGAAAUUCUCAAUACUUAUUGAUGAGGCUAGAGAUUGCUCAAUAAAGGAGCAAAUGGCGGUGAUUGUGAGAUUUCUAGAUGAUCACGGGAUGCUCCAAGAGAGAUUCCUUGCCAUUAAGCACAUCACAGAUUGUACAUCUGCUGGAAUUAAAGAAGCUUUGGUUGAUAUGUUGGAAUUUCAUGGUUUGCUACUGUGAUAAAGAGAUAUUUAGAAGCAUUCAUGAUGACCAGAUCAUGAUACAAUUCCAAAAAAUGAGGGAUCGGAAGGGACAUUUGCCUCAUGAGUUCAAUGUGAUUUCUUAGAGAUGGCUUGUGGUUGGUGACUUGGGCAUACAUUUCUAUAUUUUGGUGAGGAGGUGUUCUGUGACUACAAUAUCACUUACCAGCGUAUCGGCAAAAGGAAUUCGUACGGGCGCCAACAUAUUCAACGGCACUACGUAGGUGCUUACCGGUGAAAGGCGACAGGAAGGCCAAACAAUGAUCGCCGCCAUUGUUGUUGUGAUCUUGUGAGCCGCCAUGGCUCUUAAACUUGGAAUUGAUUGAGGCGUAGGGAGAUAAGGCUGUGGAGAGGUGCCUCUUUAUAUGUUGGUGCAUUUUCAGAUGGUUGUUCAAUUAAGCAUAUAUUUAUGUUUAUCGACCAUAUGAGCUGGAUAAUUUGACCUCAAUGUGUGUGAUUUUGUUGUCGUUC